CAGCUCAGUGUAGGUGUGCAGUAUUUUGUGGCCGGAGUGAGUGUUACGUAGGUCGUUGUGGGUCGUUAGGCUGGAGACGUUACUGCUGCCACAGGUCGCAUUCGUCUUGCCGACGCUAAGUGUCUACAGCACACGUCGUAUCUGGUCGAAAGGAAACGGUGUUGUGACCUUUCUGUGUUUUUAUUAAGUUCAUCAAAGAAUAAACUCCUGAAUAAAAA